CCAUAUCACAAUGGAACACCGGUUUCCGUUCGAUCACCGAAGUUAAGCAACAAUGUUCCUGGUCAUUAACUAGAUGGGUAACCACUUGGGAAUAUCAGGUGUUGUAA